rnacentral:lncRNA from 1 species
UGCAGGAUUAGAUAACCAACAGAGCAGCAAACAUGGCGGCGUCGCAGAAGUUGUUGAGCACCCUGUCUUCAGUUCUCUGGCCGACGGCUCUUACUUAGCGGUGGUUGCUCCUGGUCCUCGUCUCGUCGCUGUAAAGCCUGGACAUCAAACGUACUCCCUCCGUCCCAUAAUGUAGUGUCAUACAUUAUGGGACGGAGGGAGUACAUGGCAGCGUUAUUAUUAUUUGCCACAGUUCAGUAGCAUUGAUGCCGACAUGGACGAGAUCAUCACGAGCGGCUCGGUCGCCGCUGCUUCGUGCCCCGGGUUCUGCAGGCAAGCCGAAAUGCUGGACAUCACCGUCAACAUGGAGGACAAGCAUGACGACGCCAAGGAGGAGAUGGAGGAGGAAGAACCGGCGAAGCCAGCGCCCAAAGGGAGAAAGAAGACGCGGGCGGCCACCGCCAGACCGGGCGAGCCUCGCGUCAAGUGGAGGGCCAAGGAAGACGAAUGCCUCACCGAAGCAUGGAAGACCAUCAGUAUCACCCGAUCACCGGCACGAAUCAGAACUUCGACACAUACUGGAGAAGGAUCAAGGCGGCGUUCGACAAGCGCAAGUUGGUCGACCCCGACUUCGCCAACAUCCGCAUGGAUCGCGGCGAGAAGGCCAUGGCGAACCAUUGGGCGACCAUCCAGCAGGCCUGCAACAAGUGACAUGGGAUUCAAGAGGAGGUCAUCGCUCGCCCGAAAAGUGGCGCCAACGUCGAGGGUCAGGUAUGGCCAUCGUUUGCCGGCCCAGUUCUUCCCCGACACUUGUUCUUCAACUGUGCAAAUGGUCCAGAUGUUCGACAUGUUUUGCCAGGACAACAACAACCAAAAGUUCAAGUUCCUUCAUGUGUCCACCAGGAUCGAGUCGUGCGAGAAAUGGACAAAGUGCCGGCUCGCUCUCGCCAAGGCCAAGGAUGGUGUCUACAACCCGGACGCGCCUACCUCAGCGGCGGAAAAGGGUGCCCUGAUGGCAACAAAAGAGCCAAGGUGGCGAGGGACACGGCAUCCGCUGCCGAAUGACUACAAUCGUCGAUCGAACAGUGCAUCGCCGACUCCAAAAGCAACGCCGCCAAGAGGGAGGAGAAAUUUGAGGCGAGGUGGUCGGCGUUGAUGACGAAGCAGGACGUCAAGCUCGACCUUCUCAGGACCAACGUCGCCGCGAAGAAGAGGAACACCGACCUGGCGUUCCUGAUGGGGACAGACAUGUCGACGAUGGACGAGCAAGUGAAGGCGUUGUACCUGGCGAAGCGCGGCCUCAUCUUGAACCAGAUGUCGGGACCGGCGGCGACCACUGCCUCUACACUCACGCCCACGACUACGCCUACGCCCAUGCCCACGACUACGCCAACGCAGACGCCGAGCACUGAAGUUGUGCCCACAACACUGACGCCGAUGCCAAUGCCAACCUCGGCCAGCCCUACGGCAGAGGAGCCUGCCGUUUGAGUUCCAUGUCUAUGGUUCCUAUCCUUUUGAUCGCCGGACUUUGGCUAUGUUCGAUCACCGACCCGUGGCAUGAUGAUCGUCGAACUUGUGUCGUUUUUUAAUAAUGGGAAAGUGAACUUUGAAUUUUGUUGCGUUUGAGGGCCGAAACCUGGGGGCACGACAAGAAACUCGACCCCCCAGACUGAAAAAACCGCCGGCGCAAACGGCCUAACCUUGCGCUCGGGCCAAACGGCUGGAGAUUCUCUAGAGAUUCAGUGGCUAUUGUGAUCUACUAAGCGUAUGAUGAGAGGUUCAGUGGAUAUUGUGGUCUACUAAGCCUGGUAUGAUGAGAGCGUUUACACAUGUCUAUUUUCUUUACAAUUGGUCCAGUGCAACUUUUAAUCUCCAACAGACAGCGCCACAACCGGUCUUCAAAGCCUAAUAUAAUGUGCGCAUUUGCAUGUGCCUAUUUUCUUUAUCAUUGGUCACUAAUCUAGUGCAAUUUUUAAUAUGACGAGUGAGUUUGUAUAUGUAUUUUCUUUAGAAUUGUCGAGUGUAAUCUUUAAUCUCCAACGGAUAGCGGAAGAAGAACGAGGCUAGUAUGAUUUUAAAUGAAACUUUAGCUUUUGUUGACCGUUCUGGUCUGUUUUUCGUUCAUUGUACUGCCUAUUAUUUUCCUUGAUAAAUAUCUUAUGGUGUUAUUGUCUAAGAAAAAUAUACCAGAAAAAGGAAAAACUUGCUCUGAGGCUGUUAUUGUCUUACCAUAGUAGGUGGUUAAACAUUAAGAAGAACAUCACCACACCACACACACAAGAGAAUUUACACAUGGAGCGUACACAAAGCACACACAUACACCCAUCACUCGCUAGCAUGCAGCGAGUAGACCGAGGCAAGAAAAGAAAGUUACAAGCACUAGUAGAUAAGUAGUACGAAGCUCAAGACAAACUACAUGCAGCCUCAGACAGCAACGUACGCUAUGCAGGAUUAGAUAACCAAAAGAGCAGCAAACAUGGCGGCGUCGCAGAACUUCCUGUCUUCAAUUCUCUGGCCGUCGGCUCUUAUUUAGCGGUGGUUGCUCCUGGUCCUGGUCUCGUCGCUGUAAAGCCUGAACAUCAAACGUACGUGGCAGCGUUAUUAUUUCCUGGUGUUAAAUAUUGCCAUGUUCGCCCGUUUCAAGUUCGCUAUACUGAUUUUAUAUGAUGAUGAUGAUAGAUCACGAGCUAGCGUACCAGUCGUAGACGGUGGGGGAGUUGGGCUGCGGGCGGUCGAAGAGGUUGGCGCCGAGGCUUUUGGUGGCCAGGUUGCUCCCGGGGUGGAAAACGCUCCGCCACACGCUGCCGCCACGCGGCGGCGUCGACGACGACGGCGUCACCGGCGUGGUCGGGGUCGUCGGCAUCGACGGCGACUGCUUAAUCGCCUCCCCUGCAGCUGCACCUCCACCAACAUCCAUGUAAACCGCCAUCAGUUCACACAAUAAACCCAAUAGAUCCUCUGGUUAAGCAUCAAAUCUCCUUCUGAAAACCACUGGUGCUAGUUCUUACGUUCUUCUCAACAUUUUCAGGCCAUGUCGGUACCUCUGUGCUAACGUAUACGAACUGUACCUG